AUUGAACGCUGGCGGCAGGCUUAACACAUGCAAGUCGAGCGGGGGAAGGUAGCUUGCUACCGGACCUAGCGGCGGACGGGUGAGUAAUGCUUAGGAAUCUGCCUAUUAGUGGGGGACAACAUCUCGAAAGGGAUGCUAAUACCGCAUACGUCCUACGGGAGAAAGCAGGGGAUCUUCGGACCUUGCGCUAAUAGAUGAGCCUAAGUCGGAUUAGCUAGUUGGUGGGGUAAAGGCCUACCAAGGCGACGAUCCGUAGCGGGUCUGAGAGGAUGAUCCGCCACACUGGGACUGAGACACGGCCCAGACUCCUACGGGAGGCAGCAGUGGGGAAUAUUGGACAAUGGGCGGAAGCCUGAUCCAGCCAUGCCGCGUGUGUGAAGAAGGCCUUAUGGUUGUAAAGCACUUUAAGCGAGGAGGAGGCUUCUUUAGUUAAUACCUAGAGAUAGUGGACGUUACUCGCAGAAUAAGCACCGGCUAACUCUGUGCCAGCCGCCGCUGUAA
rnacentral:rRNA from 1 species